UGGUCGGGUGGUGGAAAGCUCCGGCGGUGCAGGAUGAGCCCGCGGCCUAUCAGCUUGUUGGUGAGGUAACGGCUCACCAAGGCGACGACGGGUAGCCGGCCUGAGAGGGCGACCGGCCACACUGGGACUGAGACACGGCCCAGACUCCUACGGGAGGCAGCAGUGGGGAAUAUUGCACAAUGGGCGAAAGCCUGAUGCAGCGACGCCGCGUGAGGGAUGACGGCCUUCGGGUUGUAAACCUCUUUCAGCAGGGAAGAAGCGAGAGUGACGGUACCUGCAGAAGAAGCGCCGGCUAACUACGUGCCAGCAGCCGCGGUAAUACGUAGGGCGCAAGCGUUGUCCGGAAUUAUUGGGCGUAAAGAGCUCGUAGGCGGCUUGUCACGUCGGUUGUGAAAGCCCGGGGCUUAACCCCGGGUCUGCAGUCGAUACGGGCAGGCUAGAGUUCGGUAGGGGAGAUCGGAAUUCCUGGUGUAGCGGUGAAAUGCGCAGAUAUCAGGAGGAACACCGGUGGCGAAGGCGGAUCUCUGGGCCGAUACUGACGCUGAGGAGCGAAAGCGUGGGGAGCGAACAGGAUUA
rnacentral:rRNA from 1 species